GACGAACGCUGGCGGCGUGCCUAACACAUGCCAGUCGAACGGGAACGCCCUGCUUUUGUGCGGUGCUCGAGUGGCGAACGGGUGAGGAACACGUGAGUAACCUGCCCUUGACUUUGGGAUAACUUCAGGAAACUGGGGCUAAUACCGGACAGGAGACGCCGCUGCAUGGUGGGGGUUGGAAAGUUUCGGCGUGUGGGGAUGGAUUCGCGGCUGAUCAGCUUGUUGGUUGGCUAGUGGCUUACCAAGGAUUUGAAGGGUAGCCGGCCUGGGAGGGGGGCCGGCGACCAUAGGACUGAGGGACGGACCAGACGGGUACGGGAGGCAACAGGGGGAAAUCUUACACAAUCAGCGGGAGCCUGAUGCGGCAACGCCGCGUGCGGGAUGACGGCCUUUGGGUUGUAAACAGCUUUCGCCUGUGACGAAGCGGGAGUGACGGUACUGGGUGAAGAAGCACCGGCUAACUACGUG
rnacentral:rRNA from 1 species